GACGAACGCUGGCGGCGUGCUUAACACAUGCAAGUCGAACGGAAAGGCCCUGCUUUUGUGGGGUGCUCGAGUGGCGAACGGGUGAGUAACACGUGAGUAACCUGCCCUUGACUUUGGGAUAACUUCAGGAAACUGGGGCUAAUACCGGAUAGGAGCUCCUGCUGCAUGGUGGGGGUUGGAAAGUUUCGGCGGUUGGGGAUGGACUCGCGGCUUAUCAGCUUGUUGGUGGGGUAGUGGCUUACCAAGGCUUUGACGCGUAGCCGGCCUGUGAGGGUGACCGGCCACAUUGGGACUGAGAUACGGCCCAGACUCCUACGGGAGGCAGCAGUGGGGAAUAUUGCACAAUGGGCGGAAGCCUGAUGCAGCAACGCCGCGUGCGGGAUGACGGCCUUCGGGUUGUAAACCGCUUUCGCCUGUGACGAAGCGUGAGUGACGGUAAUGGGUAAAGAAGCACCGGCUAACUACGUG
rnacentral:rRNA from 1 species